GGUUGGAAGACCUGUAGGUAAGAACCAGCUUUGUGUGUUUAUUAGCCAGAGUGAAGAUAAUUGUUUCUACAGUCUCUGAAUUUGCUUUCCAAUUUUGGUUGAUGUGUCUAUGUUGAUCACAGAAGUAUAUCUUUCGAGGGAUAUUGGCAGUGAGAAAUAAAGUUGUAUAUUAAGUAGAGAAGCCCAUUUGAAGGGGGAGAAGUUAAUCCCAAGAGGACUUCCAAAUUUUCAAGUAACUUUCUCCCAGUGAAAAUUUUAGCAAAGGGAAGAAUUGCAUUAGGAGUCUUUAUUCGAACUCUGGGGCUUAUGCUGCUCAGCUUCAGCUUUCGAGGAAUCAAGAAGAUUGACUAUGUUGCCUUGGACUAAACUUCCUCUCAGCCUUUAUGAUUCUGCUAACUAGGCAAAUGACCCAGAGGGCAGCAUGUUGUGUGAAUCAAUUAACGUUGGAACACUUCUCACCAAGACAGGCUGCUGAGAGAUGACCCCUUCAAAUAUAUGUCAGAAGAAGAACAAGCUUUAAUUGAUG